rnacentral:rRNA from 1 species
UACAGAGGUCUCAAGCGUUGUUCGGAUUCAUUGGGCGUAAAGGGCGCGUAGGUGGCGACCCAAGUCGAUGGUGAAAGCUCGCCGCUCAACGGCGAGUCGGCCACCGAUACUGGGUUGCUGGAGCACUGUAGAGGCAGAUGGAAUUCCGGGUGUAGCGGUGGAAUGCGUAGAGAUCCGGAAGAACACCGGUGGCGAAGGCGGUCUGCUGGGCAGUUGCUGACACUGAGGCGCGACAGCGUGGGGAGCAACA